AACGAACGCUGGCGGCAUGCCUAACACAUGCAAGUCGAACGAGACCUUCGGGUCUAGUGGCGCAAGGGUGCGUAACGCGUGGGAACCUUCCCUUAGGUUCGGAAUAACUCCCCGAAAGGGGUGCUAAUACCGGAUAAUUUCUUCGGACCAAAGAUUUAUCGCCUUUGGUUGGGCCCGCGUUGGAUUAGCUAGUUGGUAGGGUAAAAGCCUACCAAGGCGACGAUCCAUAGCUGGUCUGAGAGGAUGAUCAGCCACACUGGGACUGAGACACGGCCCAGACUCCUACGGGAGGCAGCAGUGGGGAAUAUUGGACAAUGGGCGAAAGCCUGAUCCAGCAAUGCCGCGUGAGUGAUGAAGGUCUGAGGGUUGUAAAGCUCUUUUACCCGGGAUGAUAAUGACAGUACCGGGAGAAUAAGCUACGGCUAACUACGUG
rnacentral:rRNA from 1 species